CCACAAUCAGAGAGAGAGAGAGAGAGAGAGAGAGAGAGAGAGAGAGAGAUUACAGGCAUGGCAAUGAAGAAAACUUCAUCAGAAGUAGAGAAGGCGUGGAACAACUUGAAGCCAGCUGGGGAAGACGACCUCCUCUGCCCCAAAACAGAGCACCACCACCGAAAGGAGCCCAUGAAGCUGAAGUUGAGUUCAUCUCAAGAUCAAAGCAAGGCUGAGCCAUGGUUGUUCAAACCAAAAGCUGGAAGUGUGUUCCCGGUGAAGAAGAGGUUAGUGAAGAGGAUGAUGUUUGAUCAAAUUGUCCAAUGCUUUUGCUCUGUUUCAGUUUCAGAGAAUAUUACUACUAGGCCUUCUUCAGCUUCUGCUUCGAAGGCCAACAAGGUCGCCAGCAACCAAGUUUACCCAAGCCCACCACCAUAGCUGGUGUUUUAUUGUUUUUAGUUCAGGGUUGUGAAUGCUUUUCUGUUUUCUGCUUAUAUUUGCGGUCAUGUUGAUGUAAAUUUUUCCUAGGUUUUCUUUCAUCUCAAUCUCCUUAUACAUAUAUAUGAUAUAUCUCUCUCUCUG
rnacentral:lncRNA from 1 species